GUCCACACUCACCUGGCUCCUGGCCGGGGUCCAGGGGAUCCUGGGGGCGGCUGCGGCCCUGCCUGUGCUUCUCCUGCUUGGCCCGGAUCCGUUCCAUCCUGUGGGGUGGGAGAGGCAGCUCUGAGCGCCAGGUGGGUGGGUCAGGAGACCUGGGGCGCCCACCCCAGACGGCACCUACUGUCUUUUCAGCUGGGCCAGGGACUUCUCCUCCGCCCUGCGGUGGAGGUCGAUGCUCUUGAGGUUGGCAGCAUUGUAGAGUGCGAAGCCCCUGUGAGGAGGGACAGGAAGGCUGGGCACACAGCUCAGCUGCACAGGCUCCCAGGCCUCUGGGCCCGGCCCAGCCCCCAUGGUCCUCCCUGCUCACACCAAGGGCCAGCUCCCCACCACGACACCCGCCUUGUCAUGUGCUGGUGAAAGGGAGGAGUGGCCUCCAGUCUCAUAGGUGGAAAAUGUGCUAGUGAAGAGGCGUCGGCGGGAUAGCAGCCCUGGCCGCCCAGCCACGGGAGGAAGGCCCUCCAGUCGGGGUGCACACUCUGGCCGGCGUGGGGGCAACAAGCUGACGGCAGAGCUGGGCCGGGACCGCUCAUCAUCAGUCAGGCAUUCAGGCCUGUGAAAAGGCCCUAGGGGUCUGUGGGCCUCGGUUCUCCCCCCAGGGGACGUGUCAGUGUCAUGGAGAGGCGACGCCUGCCCUAGAGGGCCCCGGGGGACCUGAGGCAGGGCCAACCUGGAGGCCAGCAGAGCGGUGGCCUGGAGCUCGGCCCUGACGUGCAGGAAGUAGUGACUGAGGAACACACGGCGCUGCAGCAGCAGGAACAGGAAGCAGACGCUGUCCCAGAGGACGCCGGCUUCCUCCACCGGCAGCAGGCAGUCCUGGUCCCUGCUCAGCAUCUCCUUGGCUGCAGGACAGACACAACACGGGUCAGAGGCGUGGUCAGCGUCAGGGGCACAAAUCAGGGACGUGGGUCGGGGUACAGGCCAAGGACAGGGGUGUGGGGCACAGGUCAGGUGCAUUUGUUGGGGUCAGAGUCAGGGAAUCCUGGAAGCAGCGCGUGUCCCUGAGCGGCUCCUCCCCUGGCAUGUCCUUGGCCCCCAGCUGCCUGCCCUCGCCCACUCACGGUCAUAGUAGCCUUUAACGGUGCACACGAGACUGAAGAGCUGGAUGACCCAGCAGAAGUUGCUCUGCAUUUGCUCCACGAAGACGCAGGACAGGAGCUAGGGGUGGGAGGAGGAUCAGCCUGGGCCCACCGGGUCAGGAAUUGGGGGUCAGGGCUGGGCGGGCUGGGCUCACCGAGAGCAUGUUCUUGGAGAUGAUGACGGUGACGUUGUAGAGAAUGAGGCAGUCCCACAACACGAGACGGGCGUGCGUGUCCUUCUGCAGCAGGGUGGUGCCGAAGAGCAGCAGGUAGAAGCAGGCCAGCAGGUAGCCCAGCCCGAAGAUGCUGAUGCGGGUGGCCCCCGUGACGAACACCACCACCAGCACCAGCCAGAAGAGGUAGCGGAAGACGGCCACCUUCAGCAUGUCGAGGGACACCACUGGCAGUGUCUGUCCCAGGCUCGGUCCUAGCCGGAGCCUGGGGACGUCUUUCAG
ensembl:lncRNA